GAAGAUGCUUUGGGUGUGUGGGUGUCGGCCUAAGUGUCCUUGGAACAGGACGUCAUAGAGGGUGAGAAUCCCGUAUGUGGCCAAGGCCCGCGCCUAUGUAAAGCUCUUUCAACGAGUCGAGUUGUUUGGGAAUGCAGCUCAAAAUGGGUGGUAAAUUUCAUCUAAAGCUAAAUAUGGGCCAGAGACCGAUAGCGCACAAGUAGAGUGAUCGAAAGAUGAAAAGCACUUUGGAAAGAGAGUUAAACAGUACGUGAAAUUGUUGAAAGGGAAGCGCUUGCAACCAGACUUGGGCGCUGCCGAUCACCCCGAGUUCUCUCGGGUGCACUCGACAGCGCACAGGCCAGCAUCGGUUCGGGUGGCUGGAUAAAGGCCGUAGGAACGUGGCUCCCUUCGGGGAGUGUUAUAGCCUACGGUGCCAUGCAGCCCAGCCGGACCGAGGAUCGCGCCUUCGGGCUAGGAUGCUGGCGUAAUGGUUGUAAGCGACCCGUCUUGGAAACACGGACCAAGGAGUCUAACAUCUAUGCGAGUGUUUGGGUGGUAAACCCAUACGCGGAAUGAAAGUGAACGUAGGUGAGAACCCCUUUGGGGCGCAUCAUCGACCGAUCCUGAUGUCUUCGGAUGGAUUUGAGUAAGAGCAUAGC
rnacentral:rRNA from 1 species